GGGAAUAUUGCACAAUGGGCGAAAGCCUGAUGCAGCCAUGCCGCGUGUAUGAAGAAGGCCUUCGGGUUGUAAAGUACUUUCGUUGUGAGGAAGGGGGUAGCGUUAAUAGCGCUAACUCUUGACGUUAGGAACAGAAGAAGCACCGGCUAACUCCGUGCCAGCAGCCGCGCUAAUACGGAGGGUGCGAGCGAUAAUCGGAAUUACUGGGCGUAAAGCGCAUGCACGUGGUUCAUUAAGUCAGAUGUGAAAGCCCGGGGCUCAACCUCGGAACUGCAUUUGAAACUGGUGAACUAGAGUACUGUAGAGGGGGGUAGAAUUUCAGGUGUAGCGGUGAAAUGCGUAGAGAUCUGAAGGUAUACCAGUGGCGAAGGCGGCCCCCUGGACAGAUACUGACACUCAGAUGCGAAAGCGUGGGCAGCGAAAAGGAUUAGAUACCCUGGUAGUCCACGC
rnacentral:rRNA from 1 species